CUGGAAACAGUGUGCUGGACGCGACUCUAAAUAAUGCCGGCCUCAUGCAAGUCAGCUGCUAUGUGCUGGCGACACUGCCGAAUUGCGGGGAACUCCUAAUAGCCCUCCACACUAAACCAUCUGGGGAAACCCAAUGGCGGCCUAUGGGAAACCAUGGGGUACAGUAACAGUUGGAGGGAUGAUGCCAUGGCAGGCUGUGCUGGCCUGUUUUCUGUGCUGAAAUGGAUUAUCCGCAGCGAAGCCCCUGGGCCCAAUGCCUUGGGGAACGUUCACAGACUAAGCGGCUGUGGGUGGGGGACUGGGUCUCCUGCUUAAGAGAUAGUCGGGCUCUCUGGGGAAACUCGAGAAGGCGCAUAGGCACAGGUGCCUAGAAACCGUUCCGUAGGUGAACCUGCGGAAGGAUCAUUA
rnacentral:rRNA from 1 species